AACUGAAAAGAUAUUGAAAAGAACUAUCUCUAAGCAUCAACCAGGUUCCACGGAUCCGAAAGACACAGACACUCAAAAACUAUCAUGAACGUGUGGACCACCAUCAUUGGAAUAUGUGUGCUGCUUGAAACGGACGGAGGCAACACG